UACGUAGGGUGCAAGCGUUGUCCGGAAUUAUUGGGCGUAAAGAGCUCGUAGGCGGUUUGUCGCGUCUGCUGUGAAAACUCGGGGCUUAACCCCGGGCCUGCAGUGGGUACGGGCAGACUAGAGUGCGGUAGGGGAGACUGGAAUUCCUGGUGUAGCGGUGAAAUGCGCAGAUAUCAGGAAGAACACCGAUGGCGAAGGCAGUUCUCUGGGCCGUAACUGACGCUGAGGAGCGAAAGCGUGGGGAGCGAACAGG
rnacentral:rRNA from 1 species